rnacentral:rRNA from 1 species
CUGUUUCAGACUAGCCAUGCACGUCUAGUACAAACUAAAUGAUGGUGAAACUGCAAAUGGCUCAUUACAACGGUUAUGAUGUACCCGGGAGUUCCGAUGGAUAUUUCCAGUAACACUAGAACUAAUACAUGUCCCUGCGUUUAUUAGUUUCGCACAGUCCGUCGCUGAGUCAUGGUAAACAGUUGAUCGACUCGACGUCCCGGAACAGUUUCCGCCCCAUCAGCUUCGAUGGUUGGGUAUUGGCCUACCAUUGCAACAACGGGUAACGAGGAAUUAGGGUUUGAUUUCGGAGAGGGAGCCUGAGAAACGGCUACCACAUCUACGGAUGGCAGCAGGCGCGCAAAUUACCCAAUGCAGACACUGUGAGGUAGUGACGAGAAAUAAUAAAGCGGGACUUCUGUUUCGCUAUUAUAAUGAGGAAUAACCAAAGGUCAUUCCGAUUAGCAACUGAUGGGAAAGUCUGGUGCCAGCAGCCGCGGUAAUACCAGCGUCAGUAGCAU